UCCUAAUGGUGCGAGCGUUGAUCGGAAUUACUGGGCGUAAAGCGCGCGUAGGUGGUUCGUUAAGUUGGAUGUGAAAGCCCCGGGCUCAACCUGGGAACUGCAUCCAAAACUGGCGAGCUAGAGUAUGGCAGAGGGUGGUGGAAUUUCCUGUGUAGCGGUGAAAUGCGUAGAUAUAGGAAGGAACACCAGUGGCGAAGGCGACCACCUGGGCUAAUACUGACACUGAGGUGCGAAAGCGUGGGGAGCAAACAGGAUUCGAUAACCGGGUAGUCC
rnacentral:rRNA from 1 species